AUGGGCAUCCAGACCCUCUGUUGUGUGAUCUUUUAUGUUCUGAUAGCAAAUCACACAGAUGCUGGAGUUACCCAGACACCCAGACAUGAGGUGGCAGAGAAAGGACAAACAAUAAUCCUGAAGUGUGAGCCAGUUUCAGGCCACAAUGACCUUUUCUGGUACAGACAGACCAAGAUACAGGGACUAGAGUUGCUGAGCUACUUCCGCAGCAAGUCUCUUAUGGAAGAUGGUGGGGCUUUCAAGGAUCGAUUCAAAGCUGAGAUGCUAAAUUCAUCCUUCUCCACUCUGAAGAUUCAACCUACAGAACCCAAGGACUCAGCUGUGUAUCUGUGUGCCAGCAGUUUAGC